CUUAUACUCCCUCCGUCCCAAAAUAAGUGUCUCAAGCUUAGUACAACUUUGUACUAAAAAAUUGAGACACUUAUUUUGGGACGGAGGGAGUAUUUA
rfam:Triticum aestivum genome assembly, contig: Triticum_aestivum_CS42_TGACv1_scaffold_405242_5BL